AGCAGCCGCGGUAACUCCAGCUCCAAUAGCGUAUAUUAAAGUUGUUGCAGUUAAAAAGCUCGUAGCUGAAUUUCGGGGUUCCACCGUUGGUCGGGCUAUUGUCUGUACUGGUGUGUGGAAUUUCUACCUUCUGGGGAACUAUCAUGUUAUUAAUUUAGCGUGGUAGGAAACCAGGACCUUUACCUUGAAAAAAUUAGAGUGUUCAAAGCAGGCUUAUGUCUGAAUACAUUAGCAUGGAAAAAUAAAAUAGGACGGUGGUCCUGUUUUGUUGGUUUCUGAAUCACCGUAAUGAUUAAUAGGGAUAGUUGGGGGCAUUAGUAUUCAAUUGUCAGAGGUGAAAUUCUUGGAUUUAU
rnacentral:rRNA from 1 species